AUUCCUUUCGACCAACCCACACCUGCCUCCUCCUCCGGUGCACCCCACCACCAUUUGCCACGAUUCCCCUCCCCAGAUCCACCUUCUGCCCCGCCGGCGUCGCCCUCCCCCGAUCCACCUUCUUUCCCGGCCGGCGCCGCCCUCCCCCGAUCCACCUUCUUCCCCCGCCGGUGCCGCCCUCCCACAAUCCACCUACUUCCACCACCGGUGCCGCUCCAUCCGUAUCCGGCUUCUUCCCCCGCUGGCGCCGCAGUUGGCGGCACCCCUCGGAGUGACCUGCUCGUGCCGCCCCGCCGCCCCUAACUUCCCCUGCUCGAUCUCGCAUCUUCUUAAGAGUACAGUUCGGCUCCCGGCGGGCUGAUGUUGCCCGGCAGCACCGCCGUGCAGUACGCGCAUCGCAGCCAUGCGGUUUGCUGGCGACUCUGGACGGGAGAUGCUGCGUAUGUGCGAGGUUCAGAAGGCCCUGGCGUGCAACUCAGAUGGGUUGUGUGCGCGGUUCAGAUGGGCCAGAAGCCUCGUGCCGCCGGUCGCCCCUACCUACCCCAGUGCGAGCCCGGCGGCCUUCCUCCACCGCUGGGUCCUCGGGUCUGGUGCAGCCUACCCACCGUCGAGGAGCCCCCCACCCCUUCCUCCCCGCGAGCCCCAUGAUAUGCGCCGACGGGCGUCGGAUCCCUGCACCAACCGCCUGGAUCCAGCCCACACCCCGCAGCCAUGUCGCGCCGUCGAGACUUCCCAGGUACACCACGACGCCUCACCCAAAAACAGAUGAACUGCAGGCCACCACCCACGAAGCCUCCGCAGGAGCACUAGUGAGCUGCUCCACAUUUAGUGAUUGACAGACGUUGGGGAAUAUGCUCCGCCGGGCAUCCGCCGACAAGAUCCCAUCGGUGAGUCGCCCAUUCACCCUCUUCUCCUGAUGUGGGUGCAGCACCAGGUGAGUGCCCUUGCAGUUUGAUGCAGCACCAGGUGAGCGUCCUGAGCUCGUUCUUGAAGCCCGUGGAAGAGGUGCAGAUUCUUGCUGACCGCUCGAUUGGCCUCCAUCUUCUGUUACUAUCCCUCUUACAAGCCAGGUGGAAGAAUAUUUCAGUUAUGUGUAUGGCGCUGAUGGCAUGAGAAUCAGCAAAUUUGCACCAGAGCCCGAAGAUGAUUUGGGAGUUCUCUUCUGUCGGUGCUACAGUGUGAUGCUGGGAAGGCGCAAAAGACAGUGCAGUUAGGUGUGUGGUCUCGGGCGUGGACGUGUAGCUCGACAACCAUGGACAUGCAGCUCGGACGCGUGCGUGCAGCGGUUCAGUGCUCGUGUACUUGUAGGCUUUGGUGUUUUUGCGUGUGGGUAUAGUUCGUCAUCGCGGCGUGCGGUGUGCAGCUGCAGUUCGUGCAGUGCCUCUACACCCUUGCGCUCGUGCAGGUACGGCUUGUCGUCAACGCCUACAUCACUUCCCCUCAUUUUUGAAGCCAAGGGAUGCUCGGGCGCCAUGAACAGAGCGGUAGUUUCCCCUCUUCUCCAACUCCAAUGACUCCUCUAGGUCCUCUCCAUCGUGCCCGUCACGUAGCAGUGCACUCCAGGAGGAAAACAUGGCGUAGGAGGGCUGCAGGAGAUGGGUGGCUACACCUGAGGCUAGACACUACAAUGGCCGCGCCGCGGUCCACAUGCGCCUUGGCCGCUGGACAUAAAAUGCAUAUGUGUUCAUAGCCUGUGUGUAGUUCCCAAGCGACGCAUCUGUAGUUUACUCAAGAAACAGAAAAAUACAGAAGAAAAGAAAACAAAGAAGUUCAUUUUGUUCUUUCUUUUGAGUUGGCAUUCAUUUUCCCAGGCGAACGCUAAGAUUCCAGUGCAGUGCACCUUGUGUGAUUCCAUUGCAAUGCACUUUCAUGAUUUUUUAUUACAAAUGAUCACAUCU